rnacentral:rRNA from 1 species
AGGGAAACCGAGUCUUAAUUGGGCGUUAAGUUGCAGGGUAUAGACCCGAAACCCGGUGAUCUAGCCAUGGGCAGGUUGAAGGUUGGGUAACACUAACUGGAGGACCGAACCGACUAAUGUUGAAAAAUUAGCGGAUGACCUGUGGCUGGGGGUGAAAGGCCAAUCAAACCGGGAGAUAGCUGGUUCUCCCCGAAAGCUAUUUAGGUAGCGCCUCGUGAAUUCAUCUCCGGGGGUAGAGCACUGUUUCGGCUAGGGGGCCAUCCCGGCUUACCAACCCGAUGCAAACUGCGAAUACCGGAGAAUGUUAUCACGGGAGACACACGGCGGGUGCUAACGUCCGUCGUGAAGAGGGAAACAACCCAGACCGCCAGCUAAGGUCCCAAAGUCAUGGUUAAGUGGGAAACGAUGUGGGAAGGCCCAGACAGCCAGGAUGUUGGCUUAGAAGCAGCCAUCAUUUAAAGAAAGCGUAAUAGCUCACUGGUCGAGUCGGCCUGCGCGGAAGAUGUAACGGGGCUAAACCAUGCACCGAAGCUGCGGCAGCGACGCUUAUGCGUUGUUGGGUAGGGGAGCG